UUCAGACUUCAAACUCCAGUUUGUGAACAAAGUCCUGUCUAUCUAUUCCGAAUCGGAAUCUCCGACCGCUGAGCAAAUUCCAGUUGCAAGCGCUGCCUAUUUGUAGCUUCUCCUCAAUGACUGCCUUUCAUUCUCACACGUCCCAUCUCUAAGGCAGCAGGCAUGGCACGUUAACACCUAAAUUACGGGAGCCGGCAGCGAGGAAAAGGAAGUACGGGGAACCUGGGACUUAUUUUCAUCCGCACGCAGCAAAGGAGCCGUUUUGUUUGUGAGUGUUGAUAAGAGCAAAGCCAGAGGAGAGAAGACAGACAAUGUGCUGGCUACAGCAGAAAGGAGGCUGCUGCUCUGCUGUCAUGCAGUAGAUGGAGCAGAUAGACUAUUUCAUCACACGACUGUUUUUUUUCCACCCAUCUUCCAUCUGCCCAGCAACUUUAUUUGCAGCCUGCGUCAGUAUAUGCAAAUGAUUCCAUUAAUGAACAUUGGACCCAAAGCCAAACUUUAUAAAGGUCUUUUGGCUGCCGCUGCUGCUCUUCAUUAUUAUUUUUCUUUUACUUUUCAUUUUUAUACUUAAAGCUUGAAAAACAUUUACUUAACUAUAAGGCUUGUUAAUUUUUUUCCAGCCACUGUGGAUGAUGACGUAUAAAAUGAUGGCAAUGGGAACUUUCAUUGAAAUGUACUUAUAACAUGGGGAAAAAAACAAGGACGAGUAACAUGGACAAACAUCAACCAGGGAGCAUCAGCAACGAUGACACAACGGAAAAGCAAGAUAUUCCCCACUCAAUGUCCUUAUUUAAGAGAAUUGUUUGAUGUUGGCUUCAACAGUGAUUCAUGGUGAAUAUGUUUUUUUGUUUUGUCAUCUUAAAAAACUAAUAAUAAUGAGUGUAUUCUGAAAAAAUGCAAAGUAUAUAUUUUUUCAGUAGUGAUCAUUACCUAUUAUAUAUUGUAUACAGCGUUUAUCAUUUUUUUGGGGGGCGGGGGGUGGGACCUUGUGAUGAUCUUUCUCCUAUAUCUUAAAGUAUCUGUUCUUGUAUUUGGAUGUUUAUGCACACAUGUCCAUAAACGAAAUAAAAACAACAACAAAAACUUUU